rnacentral:rRNA from 1 species
UACCCUAUACAGGAGGAUAGCCUAGGGAAACCUGGAUUAACCCUUCAUAGUAUUAUUGGAUGCAUCAUUUGAUAGUUAAAACUGAGGUGGUAUAGGAUGGGCAUGCGUCUGAUUAGUUAGUUGGCGGGGUAAUGGCCCACCAAGACGAUGAUCAGUAGGGGUUCUGAGAGGAAGAUCCCCCACACUGGCACUGAGAUACGGGCCAGACUCCUACGGGAGGCAGCAGUAGGGAAUAUUGGUCAAUGGAUGCAAGUCUGAACCAGCCAUGCCGCGUGCAGGAAGAAGGCCUUCUGGGUUGUAAACUGCUUUUGCCAGGGGAUAAAAUUUCCAUGCGUGGAAAACUGAAGGUACCUGGUGAAUAAGCCACGGCUAACUACGUG